rnacentral:lncRNA from 1 species
CCAGACGAGAUUACCAUAGAGACAUUGGGCUUGUUUCCGUCCAACUCACCCAGACGAGCCCAAUCAUGCCCAUGCGAGAAGUCACUUAACCCAAGCCCAACUAGGUUAAAUAUGAGGCUUGAUGCACAACCCUAGACAUCAAUUGGGAGAAUAUGAGGUGAUAGAAAACCCUAGAGGAGGCAGUCGUCAAGGAGAAACAUUCUGGAUCUUCUUUUCUUGCUUUCGAUGCUUGUAAUGGC